CAGUCGCCACGGUAAUUCGAAGGGGGCUAGCGUUGCUCGGAAUGACUGGGCGUAAAGGGCGCGUACGCGGUUCGUACAGUUGGAUGUGAAAUUCCUGGGCUUAACCUGGGGGCUGCAUUCAAUACGUGCGGGCUUGAGUGUGGAAGAGGGUUGUGGAAUUCCCAGUGUAGGGGUGAAAUUCGUAGAGAUGUGGAGGAACACCAGUGGCGAAGGCGACUCUCUGGUCUGUAACUGACGCUGAGGAGCGAAAGCGUGGGGAGCGAACAGGAUUAGAUACCCGGGUAGUCCCUGUCUCUUAUAC
rnacentral:rRNA from 1 species